UCUUGAGAAGAAUCAAAGAUAUGUUCUUAAUUUGGAGAAGGAUCAAAGUUAAAAGUGGGAGGAUACACCAAUUCAGAUUUUAUGAUAGAAUGUCUACGUCAUGGGUGUGUUCCUAUUUGAUAUUUUAGAAGGAUUCCAAAUAAUCGAUCAAUGGAAGCUGAGUACACUGUAGAUAUAAAGGAUGCAUUCUUAUUCUAAUGUUAGUUACAGAAUUGAUUAUCAUGCCAUC
rnacentral:lncRNA from 1 species